rnacentral:lncRNA from 1 species
AUCAUUCAAAAGUCAGUUCAGAGAUUAGCCCAGAGGACCAGCUGUGGAGCUUCUCAGCAAAAGAUUCAUUGUUUCUUGACAUCUUCACCAAUUUCAGAAGAGAGUUUCAGGUCCUAUUGGACCUGAGGGAGCAGUACUCAAAGGCCUUUGAUCAGCAGAGGUGUCUCUUCCAUGAUCUUAAGGGAGUCAAGAUGGCAGCUUAG